UACUUCUUCAGUCCUACGCGGAAGGAGACAUUUUGAGAAUUUUCCAGCAUUAUGACGUCACGGGAAUUCCAUUGUGAAGGUAUACGUAUGACUGAAGAUACUUGCGAAUCAGUACUGUUCGGGAAUUGCGUUGCGAUGGUGCGGAGAAGAUGAGUCCUUUGUGAAAUCUGUCAUGGCGUCUGGAGGGUGUGAAUGUGAGAAGAGAACUUGUGUGACAGCGGGGGAGAACUGAUAGUAGCAGAGAUCUGAUAGUUGGAAACAACGCUUUGGUUUGUAAAUUUCUCGAUGUAAUUUUAUGCUGUUGAAUUACUGUUCUUGAUUCGUGCUGAAUUGUAUUUACGUUCCACGAAUAUUGCUUGUUCUAUUGUAACUUUCCAAUGUGUUGUAAAAUAAAAUAAAAUAUAUUGUUUUGCUUCUUUAUUUGAACCUAUUAUUCCUCUCUUCGUAUAAUGUGUGUAUUCAUGUACAGACGUCAUGGGGAAAGGAGUCUUAAGGGUUGCGAAUGCCACUUCGUCUCAUCGGCCAUUAUGAAGAAUGUGACGUAGUAUUUGAGUCUGGAAGUGCUUAAGGAGACUGGACUCCUGAAAUAUCUGGUGGUUCGUCAGAAGUACGUGCGCACUCAUUAUCAGGACCAGUAUAGCAUGCAGCAAGAUGUUGUGCAGUACUGAUCUACGUGGCCCAGCUUAAGAUGUUGAGGAGCUCCCUAAAACUGUUGAUAGUGCAGUACUUACUUGGAUGCAGGCAGUAUCCAGUGAAGGUAAAGUACAUUGUAAAGCUGCAU